AUCUGUGGCCGUACCACCCUGAAUGCACCUGAUCUCGGAAGCUAAGCAGGGUUGGGCCUGGUUAGUAUUUGGAAGGGAGAAAAAUUUUCCCUACUCCCACUUUACAAAAAUUUAUCCGUGUUUCUUUUA
rnacentral:rRNA from 1 species